AACCUGCGUUUUCAUUGGAGUGACUCAUUAAGGAAAGAUGCCUCAAAUGCCUAAAACAUCCAAAGAUUUGUCCAGAUUCAGACUUUGAGGAGUAAAACCGAACAAGUUUGAACAGAAAUGAUGCUUCCUGAAUAAACUUUGUCCCUGAUUUGGUGAUGAAACAGCCGUCAGCUUUUGCUGCGCAUCAAAGCCUCACGAAAGCCGCUGUGGUUCAGCUUCUCACGAACGUCUUUCCCUCGUGAACCAAUCGGGUUGAGUCCUCUGAACGGUGGCAGCCUGGCAAAAGAGAGCAAACGCUUCCUUGGAUUCCUCCGCCGUUGGAUCACUGGUGGUGUCCUGUCGGAUGACGGCUGGAGUUACUCUGUAACCGCUGGUCACACCCAGUGAUUCCUGGAGAUAUUAAUGCCGGGAUUUGGCUCUAUUUUUUUCCUGCAUUUUUAUGCGAAACGGCAUAAGUAUAGUGUUGUUUCUGUUGCCAUGGUUUCACCCGGAGUGUCCCCCUCCCUCAGUGCAAACAGACGUUACUCAUGCAGUCAAGGUUUAGAGUGGUUGUGGUUCAAAUAAUGAUUUGACUUCCAGGACAAACACAGGCAGCAGAUUUGCAUGAAAACAAGUGUCUGACUGCGAGUCUCGGCUCGCCGGUGAACUGAGGCAGGAAGUGGCUGCCAGCGUGCAAUGAUUUUACUCACUGUGUAGAUGAGGAGAAAUCCAGUCUUGAGGUCGGACUCGGCCCAGUUUACAGCGCAGGUCCAUCACAGCUCGCCAUUUAUCUUCAAUCUAAGCCAGCCUCCAACAGAAAUGAUGGCGCCCAGAAAUGACCAUUUUUGUCACCACUAUUUUGUAGCAGAACCCAACACAGGAACCGGGGGAUUGCUGCUGCUAGUUGGUUCUCUCUUUAAGACCCACUCCAAUGAAAAUGGUGUUUUUAACACGUUUUUGUGUACGAUAUGAGAAAAACUUGCUAUAUUGGUGAUCAAUAUUGCGAUUACGAUAUAACUUGUAAUACAUAAACAAAUGGCAAAAAGAACACCAUUUCCAUUUCACUGCAACAGUUUCAUUUAAAUAAUAGUCAACAUCAAUUAAAUCACACUCCGAAGGACCCUAGUCUCCAUAGGAGGCUAACAGAAAAGGGCUCCGUCCGAUUGGUCAAAUGCAUAAAGGGAUUGUGGGUAAAUGGCGCACACGGGUAUAUCGCUUUUCUACCUUCCUCGAAGCCCCAAAGCGCUUUACAGUCCCAUUCAUCCGUUCACACACUGAUGGCUUCACCAGAGGUAAGGUGGGUUUGGGCGGCUUGCCCAAGGACUCUUGAAGGCAGGAAUCGAACCUGCGGUGUUCUGUCAGAGGUGAAUUCUCCUGCCGCUCUGCAGAAUCUACGUCCUAGAAAGCGACACGGGUUUUUUUUUAACUGUGGCUAAAAACGGCAUCAUCAUAACGGGGAAGAAAAGACUGGAAUCACUGAAAAUGGAGCAGAAGAUGAUCAGAGUGGGGCUUUAUGAACGGAGGGCCUCUGGUUUGAAGGAUGUCUUCUCCAGGUGGAAUGUUUUAGCUCCUCCCACAGAUGUUGUAGACCAGGGCUCAGGGUGAAUCUGGUUGUCUUUUGGCUCAUUAUCUUGCUGGAAAAGCAGACCAAACCAACAUUUUUGACAUUCUGUAGCAUAUCUGGCUGCUGAAUGAUUUUUUUUUUUGAGUUUUUAUGGCUGCCAGACCCCUCCCCCUUACAAAAUUCCACAAAGCAGCCCAAACCAUGACUAAACUUCCUCAGUGUUUCACAGUAGUCUCUUCUUUUCUUAGCAUUCUUCAUUUCUUGGAAUAAAGAGUAGCUAAAAAGCUCCAAAGGACAUUUUCCCAGAAGCUUUGCAGCCUGUAGAAUAGCAUUGUAGGAAACACCAGUCCAGCUUUUUUCUUUUUCAGCCAACAGCUGUUUUCUUUGGGCUCUCAGUCCACGUAGAGCAGUCUGUGGAUCUUGCACCAUUGAGACUUGACCAUUGAUGUCUUUGGAUGUUUCAUCAGGUUGACUCUAGUUUCUUUCAGAGGUGAAAGACUGAAGCUGAGAUGCACAUUUUGAAAUCUUAGUUUUGAGAAUUCUUUGUUUUUUCUUCAGAGUUUUAGAUUUGUUUACAGCUGGUUCUUCUUAUUGCAGCUGAUUUGUCUAAGUUUGCAUCUCUGACGUCUCCAUCGGUCGGCGCCGUACGUUUUUCCUCCUAACCUAACUCCCACACAAUUAGUCACUUUGGCUUCUGCGGUGCCUUUGUCGAUCUCAAGAUCUUUUUCCUUUUACCAACUUUUAAACCCAUCAGAAAUUUGACUAAAGAAAGGGGAUGAAUAGUUCCCGCCCAGAACUCUGGUUUAUUCUCCUGCAGGAGCGCUUUCCUGGCAGCACUCUGUCAUUCACGCCGUUGAGCUGGUUUGCUCUGCAGACGCCGUCAUGCCCGGCCAUGUUUCUCCACCAGACAGCACAUGCCGCGUGCAGACAGUCUUCUGUUUCUUAAAGCCUUUUUAUCUGCGAGCUCAUCUACCACAGCAGCAUAUUCUACUUAAUGACAGCUACUGUUUACCCUUCAAAGAAAAUGAAGCGGUCCCAGAGCAAAAACCCAUGCGUAAAAUCAUUUUUGUGGUGAGGCUAAAGUCGUUUCCAGACGUGUAAUUGGAUCGCAGAUUUCUGUGCUUUACGCUUAGGCUAAAACGGAGGACCUGAGGAGUUGGGCUGUUGGAAAACAGAAGAUUAUGCUUUUAGGAAUAACUUAAAGAUCAUUUCAUCCUGCUCUUUAAGCGCUAACACAGAAAAAUGCAACAAUUUUAUUUCAUUAAAGAUAGUAAAAUGCUUUAUUAAAACUAAAACUAGGAGCUCAAACGUCUGAAGAAGGAUCCCCAAAACCUUUUUGCUUUAUUUUCCUGAACAAUUGAAACUGUUUUCUCAGUGACACUUUGACCUCAGGAUGGCGCUUAGAAAACUCAAAGUUUGCAUCAAAAUGUGUAAAAUGUUUGGUCAGUACUGACAUUUAUGAUUGAAUGUGGAAAAACUCAGAGUUUGACGGUCAAUAUUCAUUUUGAUGAUGCGUUUUCUCAUUGGAAAGCUGAAUUUUGUGGUUAUUCUUCCUGGUAGGAUGGGGGGAGAGGGUUUAUCUGAGCCUUCCUAUGGGUCCGUUCGCUGGCGGCCAUAAACUUUCAUCGAAUCUCAAAGGUUUUGUUUUCGUUCUGACGAACCCGACUCAGUUCCUGCUCUGAGGUGACCCGGUGGCCCCGUUCGCUCAACAUCUGUUUUUGUCUCGUUUUUAUUGAGAUGUGAAGGCAAAGGGCCGCAAUUCUGCAUUCCUGAAAGCCAUAAAGGAAAACUGGCGUGCAGAUGAUCCGAUAAAACUUGAAGGAUUUUGGGUCAGAGGUCAGAUUGCUGUUUUUUAAAAGGGCGUUUGCUCUUUCUUUUGCCUGUUCCACGAUGAUGCAAACAAACGUUUUAAGCUAACGGCAUUGGUUUGAAAAUCUUACGUUUAACUUUGUGCUUUGGGAUUUGCUAAGAACUUCUUUGACUGUGGAUGAAAAUGGAGUCGGAAGUGUGGAAACUCCCACUUCAUCCCGUAAACCUGAAGUCGACUGAUAAGGAGUGUUUUUUAUCGGGCAGAAGGAGUCGGAGUAAAGCAUUUGUACAGGUUCUCCAAUUAUUAACCAACUGUGUCUUUGUGCAAAGACAUUAUGACAAACUAUGCACACAGAUUCAUGAACACUUCGAUCCGUUCUUCAUCCUUUGAAAGUUGGAAAUAAACUGUUGGAGGUCCUCCUCGCUAGAGAGGAAUCCUUUUCUAAAGUUUCAUCCUGAUUUAAAAAAAGAAUUGGACGACUGCAUCUUCCGAUCGAUGUUUAUAGAUCUAUUAUCACUAAGAUAAUGUAAACUUUUUAAAAAUAUUAGACCUUAGUUUGAAAUGCCUAUCAUGGGAAACAUGUCUGUUUUUGGAGGAAUAUGUAGGAAAAAUGGAAUGAGAGAAGGAACAUGGCCAAGGCCGUCCAGCACCACAGAACACGUCUGUUUUCCAGCCGGUUUGGUUUGCUCUGCGGUUUCACCAGGCGCUCGGGUUGCAGCGAAGCAGAGGAUGACCGAGUCCGUGAUGACAUGUGACCUGACUCUGCAGGGAACACGGCUAAGAGCUGAAAUGGAGAAAUGACACAGAUUCACAUGGAAAGCUUCCAGGACGGAUUCUCCUGCGUGACGCCCGGAACAGCCUUACGGAAAGCUUCAAUGUUUGAACUGGAAGAACCGUGUUUGUAUCCCAGAGUACAGCAGCUCGUGACUUGAUGCAAACUGUAAGAAAAUAUGCAAAGAAGAAGCAACUUUGACCUGGACUCAAAGAACUGACAAAUGCUGCUGGUACCGGUCUCAUGCACAGAAUUAUAAAUGGUCAUUUCUGUCAUUGAUAUUUUUUUGUCCGUAGGAUAACAAACAUUUUGAUGCUUUGACUUCAAUCUCUCACUGAGAAAUGUAUUUUUCCUCUUAAAGUCAUGUUAUGCUGUUCAGAUCCAGUGCCUGGUCGUCUCGUCUACGUCGUCACUGGCAGCUGACCGGUUCUCCAGAUUACAUGUACCUCCAUCAUGAGUCCGUUUGUCUGCAUUUUACAACAAGUGCUGACACCUCCCAGUUGCUGUUCUUAAUCUGGGUUUUGGAUUGCUUACAUUUAUCAAACAUGUUCUCUUUCUUCUGUGAGCGGGAAAAGACGGCAGUUUUACAGAGAACAUGUGCUCACCUCAACCAACCAGCCAUGGAACUGCGGACAGUUGAACGGCGUCCCAAGGGAUCUACAUUUUAACUGAACCUGUCAAUUUAAACAAAUGUCAUUAGAUGGAAAGAAGCUCCACACCAAAAA